AGUGAACGCUGGCGGUAGGCCUAACACAUGCAAGUCGAACGGCAGCACAGUAAGAGCUUGCUCUUACGGGUGGCGAGUGGCGGGCGGGUGAGGAAUACAUCGGAAUCUACUUUUUCGUGGGGGAUAACGUAGGGAAACUUACGCUAAUACCGCAUACGACCUACGGGUGAAAGCAGGGGAUCUUCGGACCUUGCGCGAUUGAAUGAGCCGAUGUCGGAUUAGCUAGUUGGCGGGGUAAAGGCCCACCAAGGCGACGAUCCGUAGCUGGUCUGAGAGGAUGAUCAGCCACACUGGAACUGAGACACGGUCCAGACUUCUACGGGAGGCAGCAGUGGGGAAUAUUGGACAAUGGGCGCAAGCCUGAUCCAGCCAUACCGCGUGGGUGAAGAAGGCCUUCGGGUUGUAAAGCCCUUUUGUUGGGAAAGAAAAGCAGCAGGUUAAUACCCCGCUGUUCUGACGGUACCCAAAGAAUAAGCACCGGCUAACUUCGUG
rnacentral:rRNA from 1 species